AGUUCCAGAAACAAGGAAAAGAUGUGGAGAAGGUUAAGCAAAGGCUAGCAGAGAUUGCCAAUUACGUGGACAAGUUUUACAGAGUGCUGAACAUUCGUGUAGCUCUGGUGGGACUGGAGGUGUGGAGUGAUGUCGAUAAGUGUGCAGUCACCCAAGACCCCUUCACAACCCUGCAUGAGUUUUUAGACUGGAGAAAACUUAAACUGCUGCCGCAGCGGCCACAUGAUAACGCCCAGCUUAUUAGUGGGGUGUACUUCCAGGGCACCACAAUAGGCAUGGC